rnacentral:misc_RNA from 1 species
GAUGAAGAACGUAGCGAAAUGCGAUAAGUAAUGUGAAUUGCAGAAUUCAGUGAAUCAUCGAAUCUUUGAACGCACAUUGCGCCCGCCAGCACUCUGGCGGGCAUGCCUGUUCGAGCGUCAUUUCAACCAUCAAGCCCCCAGGGGCUUGUGCUGGGGCCCUGCGGCUGCCCGCAGGCCCUGAAAACCAGUGGCGGGCUCGCUAGUCACACCGAGCGCAGUAGCACAUCUCGCUCAGGGCGUGCGGCGGGCUCCUGCCGUGAAACCCCCCACUGUAACCCCAAAGGUUGACCUCGGAUCAGGUAGGAAUACCCGCUGAACUUAAGCAUAUCAAUAGGCGGAGGA